rnacentral:rRNA from 1 species
UACACGUGGAUAACAUGCCCUUAGGAGGGGGAUAAUCUCGAGAAAUUGAGAAUAAUACCCCAUAGGUCAUGAAUGCUGGAAUGCUUCAUGGCUCAAAGUUCCGGCGCCUAAGGAUUGGUCUGCGGCCUAUCAGGUUGUAGUGGGUGUAACGGACCCACUAGCCAAUGACGGGUAUGGGCCUUGAGAGAGGGAGCCCAGAGAUGGACUCUGAGACACGAGUCCAGGCCCUACGGGGCGCAGCAGUCGCGAAACCUUCACACUGGGGGCAACCCUGAUGAGGGAAUUCCUAGUGCCUGCAUUUUGUGUAGGCUUUUCUCUAGUGUAGAUAGCUAGAGGAAUAAGGGCCGGGUAAGACGGGUGCCAGCAGCCGCGGUAAUACGAU